rnacentral:rRNA from 1 species
GUGGGGAAUAUUGGACAAUGGGGGCAACCCUGAUCCAGCAAUGCCGCGUGAGUGAUGAAGGCCUUAGGGUUGUAAAGCUCUUUCGCACGCGACGAUGAUGACGGUAGCGUGAGAAGAAGCCCCGGCUAACUCCGUGCCAGCAGCCGCGGUAAUACGGAGGGGGCUAGCGUUGUUCGGAAUUACUGGGCGUAAAGGGCGCGCAGGCGGCUUUUCAAGUCAGGCGUGAAAGGCCUGGGCUCAACCCGGGAAUUGCGCUUGAGACUGGGAGGCUUGAGUACGGGAGAGGAUGGUGGAAUUCCCAGUGUAGAGGUGAAAUUCGUAGAUAUUGGGAAGAACACCGGUGGCGAAGGCGGCCAUCUGGACCGUUACUGACGCUGAGGCGCGAAAGCGUGGGGAGCAAACAGGAUUAGAAACCCUGGUAGUCC